AUACUUACUUGGUGUCGGGCUUUCCGGUGAUCAUUGAGGCCGGGGUCCCAUGCUGAGGCCAACCAUUGCACAGAGGAUGGCUGACGCACGCCGCUGUCCCAAAGAGGGAUGGGCGGGGCAUGUAAUUUUUGGUAGUGGGGCUUGGUGUUCACGCCAGCCCUAG